rnacentral:lncRNA from 1 species
ACGGGAUCUGGAGGCAGGUCAGGGGGAGGAGAGGCCAAAGGUGGGCUAUGGGGUUCACUGGAUGGUGAUGGGGGUACUGUCAAAGAACAUGGGGGUCAGCGAGUUCCCAGGGGGGAUCUUGGAGGUGUAAAGGAGGUCUGAGGGAGGAAAUAGGAGGAUUCCGGGGAAGCCCAGUGGGGCACAUGGGGUGCUGCUGGGGACUGUGGGGCUCCAUGUGGGUAUGGGCCAGCUACGGGGGAGGUGUACUGCGUCUGAGGGGGUCCUUGAGGGGCUCCAGGGCUCUGUGGGGGGCUACAGGGUGUCUCUAGGGGUCUUGCUGGGAAACACUUGGAAGGACAUUGGGGCUCUGAGGGAAUGAUGGGUGGGCUGUCAUGAGAAAUGAAAGGGCAGCCUUGGGGAAAGCAAGGGGCAGCCAGGGGGAUGGAAGGGAAUUCUACAGGAACGCAAGGGGAAUCCAGGCUGAGGCAAGGGGACAGCUGGGGGAAGAACAGGGGAACGUCCCAGCAACGGACUUCUUCUUUCACAUCCACAUCUUCUGCUUCCCAACUGAGCUGCAAAGCUGCCAGAGGAGCUGCAGUACCGCUGCCCGACUCCUGCCUGUGUCAGAAAGAGCUGCACGUGAGCAGAGUGCAAUUGCCAUUCUAAAGCCAACUCCAUCACUGCAGUCACAACACCACAACCUUCAGUAUCUGCUACAGGCAGACGACCAUGCCCUUGCACAGGAACCAUUCCUACAGAGCAAGGGAAGUCCUUCACUGCCUUAGGACGUGAGGAACACAGGAAGGGCCCCAAAGACUUCAGCACAUGCUAUGGAGCCACCAAAGUUGGCAGCUAAACAC